rnacentral:misc_RNA from 1 species
UACGUAGGGUGCAAGCGUUAUCCGGAAUCAUUGGGCGUAAAGCGUUCGUAGGUGGUUAAGUAAGUUUGUGGUCAAAUCUGGUCGCUCAACGAUCAACUCGCUACAAAAACUACUUAGCUAGAGAUUGGCAGAGGCAACUGGAAUUCCACAUGUAGGGGUAAAAUCCGUUGAUAUGUGGAGGAACACCAAAAGCGAAGGCAGGUUGCUGGGCCAUUUCUGACACUGAGGAACGAAAGCGUGGGGAGCAAACAGG